rnacentral:rRNA from 1 species
ACGAGGGAUGCAAGCGUUAUCCGGAAUUAUUGGGCGUAAAGCGUUCGUAGGUGGCUAAGUUAGUCUGUCGUUAAAGCGUGGAGCUUAACUCCAUAUCGGCGAUGGAAACUGCUUGGCUAGAGUAUGGUAGGGGUAAGAGGAAUUCCCAGUGUAGCGGUGAAAUGCGUAGAUAUUGGGAAGAACACCAGCGGCGAAAGCGUCUUACUGGGCCAUUACUGACACUGAGGGACGAAAGCUAGGGGAGCGAAAGGGAUUAGAUACCCCUGUAGUCCUAGCCGUAAACGAUGAGAACUAGGUGUUGCGCGUAUCGACCCGCGCGGUGCCGUAGCCAACGCGUUAAGUUCUCCGCCUGGGGAGUACGCACGCAAGUGUG